AAUGGGUCAGCGACUUAUAUUCUGUAGCAAGGUUAACCGCAUAGGGGAGCCGGAGGGAAACCGAGUCUUAACCGGGCGUUAAGUUGCAGGGUAUAGACCCGAAACCCGGUGAUCUAGCCAUGGGCAGGUUGAAGGUUGGGUAACACUAACUGGAGGACCGAACCGACUAAUGUUGAAAAAUUAGCGGAUGACCUGUGGCUGGGGGUGAAAGGCCAAUCAAACCGGGAGAUAGCUGGUUCUCCCCGAAAGCUAUUUAGGUAGCGCCUCGUGAAUUCAUCUCCGGGGGUAGAGCACUGUUUCGGCUAGGGGGCCAUCCCGGCUUACCAACCCGAUGCAAACUGCGAAUACCGGAGAAUGUUAUCACGGGAGACACACGGCGGGUGCUAACGUCCGUCGUGAAGAGGGAAACAACCCAGACCGCCAGCUAAGGUCCCAAAGUCAUGGUUAAGUGGGAAACGAUGUGGGAAGGCCCAGACAGCCAGGAUGUUGGCUUAGAAGCAGCCAUCAUUUAAAGAAAGCGUAAUAGCUCACUGGUCGAGUCGGCCUGCGCGGAAGAUGUAACGGGGCUAAACCAUGCACCGAAGCUGCGGCAGCGACACUCAGGUGUUGUUGGGUAGGGGAGCGUUCUGUAAGCCUGUGAAGGUGUGCUGUGAGGCAUGCUGGAGGUAUCAGAAGUGCGAAUGCUGACAUAAGUAACGAUAAAGCGGGUGAAAAGCCCGCUCGCCGGAAGACCAAGGGUUCCUGUCCAACGUUAAUCGGGGCAGGGUGAGUCGACCCCUAAGGCGAGGCCGAAAGGCGUAGUCGAUGGGAAACGGGUUAAUAUUCCCGUACUUGGUGUUACUGCGAAGGGGGGACGGAGAAGGCUAUGUUGGCCGGGCGACGGUUGUCCCGGUUUAAGCGUGUAGGUGUGUGUUCCAGGUAAAUCCGGUUCACUUUAACACUGAGGCGUGACGACGAGGCACUACGGUGCUGAAGCAACAAAUGCCCUGCUUCCAGGAAAAGCCUCUAAGCAUCAGGUAACAUCAAAUCGUACCCCAAACCGACACAGGUGGUCAGGUAGAGAAUACCAAGGCGCUUGAGAGAACUCGGGUGAAGGAACUAGGCAAAAUGGUGCCGUAACUUCGGGAGAAGGCACGCUGACACGUAGGUGAAGUGAUUUACUCAUGGAGCUGAAGUCAGUCGAAGAUACCAGCUGGCUGCAACUGUUUAUUAAAAACACAGCACUGUGCAAACACGAAAGUGGACGUAUACGGUGUGACGCCUGCCCGGUGCCGGAAGGUUAAUUGAUGGGGUCAGCGCAAGCGAAGCUCCUGAUCGAAGCCCCGGUAAACGGCGGCCGUAACUAUAACGGUCCUAAGGUAGCGAAAUUCCUUGUCGGGUAAGUUCCGACCUGCACGAAUGGCGUAAUGAUGGCCAGGCUGUCUCCACCCGAGACUCAGUGAAAUUGAACUCGCUGUGAAGAUGCAGUGUACCCGCGGCAAGACGGAAAGACCCCGUGAACCUUUACUAUAGCUUGACACUGAACAUUGAGCCUUGAUGUGUAGGAUAGGUGGGAGGCUUUGAAGUGUGGACGCCAGUCUGCAUGGAGCCGACCUUGAAAUACCACCCUUUAAUGUUUGAUGUUCUAACGUGGACCCGUAAUCCGGGUUGCGGACAGUGUCUGGUGGGUAGUUUGACUGGGGCGGUCUCCUCCUAAAGAGUAACGGAGGAGCACGAAGGUUGGCUAAUCCUGGUCGGACAUCAGGAGGUUAGUGCAAUGGCAUAAGCCAGCUUGACUGCGAGCGUGACGGCGCGAGCAGGUGCGAAAGCAGGUCAUAGUGAUCCGGUGGUUCUGAAUGGAAGGGCCAUCGCUCAACGGAUAAAAGGUACUCCGGGGAUAACAGGCUGAUACCGCCCAAGAGUUCAUAUCGACGGCGGUGUUUGGCACCUCGAUGUCGGCUCAUCACAUCCUGGGGCUGAAGUAGGUCCCAAGGGUAUGGCUGUUCGCCAUUUAAAGUGGUACGCGAGCUGGGUUUAGAACGUCGUGAGACAGUUCGGUCCCUAUCUGCCGUGGGCGCUGGAGAACUGAGGGGGGCUGCUCCUAGUACGAGAGGACCGGAGUGGACGCAUCACUGGUGUUCGGGUUGUCAUGCCAAUGGCACUGCCCGGUAGCUAAAUGCGGAAGAGAUAAGUGCUGAAAGCAUCUAAGCACGAAACUUGCCCCGAGAUGAGUUCUCCCUGAGACUUUAGGUCUCCUGAAGGAACGUUGAAGACGACGACGUUGAUAGGCCGGGUGUGUAAGCGCAGCGAUGCGUUGAGCUAACCGGUACUAAUGAACCGUGAGGCUUAACCUU
rnacentral:rRNA from 1 species